AAAAAAAUAAAAAUUCACGGGACGGGUUCGGGGCGGGGAUGCCCCGCUCCCCACGACGAGGCGACCAUCUAUGCCCCCGCCCUGCCCCGUGCCCCGCGAUGAGGCGGGUUUUUUUGCCCCGUUCGGGGCGGGGCGACGUCGGGACGGGAUGGAGCGGGGUAAAUUGCCAUCACUAGCCUUAAUGGAAGAAGAAAGGCAAAAUCCGAAAUACAUACCCACGCCCACACCCUCUCGUUGUUAUUCUUUUUUGGAACGCUGUCUUGCAAAUUAUAGGAAAGGUUUGAAGUUUUAAGAGUUGUUUGAUUUUUGUUUACAGUUUUAAGUCUAUGUGUUUGUUAUUAUUUUUUGAGCUUUCUUCUUUCACAAACUUCAACAUUUGAGAUCUGGAUGCAAUACUUUGUUCUGAAUUUUGGUUGAGGUGUGUAACAUUUGGGUUUUCAUUAAAUUCAUCUCUUACGUAUUGUCAACUGCAGUUUAGUAAUUGCAAUUUAAGUUUGUGGAAUCGUAUUUGCUGUCAAGCCUUUUAAUUAUGCUCACAGAAGAGGAUUUUUCUAUUUAAGGUAAAGUAAUUCCACUUUAUUCUUAAUGGGCCUUCAUUUUAUCUUAAAAGGCUUGUGAAUUUUGAUUCUACAUUUGUAUAAUUUUAAGUGCCUAUGCUUCAUGAUCUGGUGCACUCUUUACUCGUAUUGAUUUAUUGAUUGAAGUUUAUGCCCUAAUUAAGGCAAUACAGACUAAUUUGGAUUUUAUUUCGAUUGUAAUCGAUCAUCAUUUCUGCUCAAAACGAAUUAACAUGGUCAUAUUAAAUGGUACACUUAAUUGUUAUGAUAAAUUAUAGAGAAAGAUGUUAAGAUCUGCUUCAUGAUAUCUGUUGUUGUCGAAGGCUGAGUUUUAGGAGUGGAAUGUAGUUAUGGUCCAGUAUGAAUUUGAGCUCUUGAAGUUCGGUUUUUCAUAUACUGGAAUGAGUAUUGUAGCCAUGGCAUUUGUUAACUUUUUUCUAUUAGCCAGAAUGAGCAAGUACAAGGAUUGUUUUUAUUCAGUUUCUGAGGGGUGAACAUGGUAAAAUUAUUUAUUUUUGCGGAUAGAUAUGAUGCUUGUUGGAACUUUCUGCAAUUGAGCUUAAACGGUGAGUUGAUAUGCUACCUUCCCAUCAGUGUGAUGUGUAAGACAAUAACGAGACAUAAGUGCAGUUAUGAAAUCAAUCGUGUUUUAUUUAACCGCAAUAUGGCAUGAAUCCAAUUGGAAGAUUUGAUAAACCACCCUUAAUGCCAAGUCUUACAAUGUAAGAUUAUCCAUUAUACUUGUGAUGGUGGUGAUUAUUGACAAUCCUUACCUUUUGCUCACAGUAACAUUCUAGAUUUUUUUAUUAGGCAGCAAUAGCUUUCACACAGGACUUGAUUUCUUGUCAUUAUGUAAUUUAUGUGAAUUAUUAAAUUGAAGUGAGCUUUUCCGGUCUGAAGUAAGCUUGAUCAUGAAUACCAAUUUUCCCAUCUUCAAAUAAAUUGGAUCGUAGUACUUGUAGACCAACAUGUAGGAGGGAAAGUAGACAAUAUUUAUCAGUGUUUCCAAAAGCAUGUAAGGCUGACUUAUUCAGCUCCACCUUAUGCCAAGGUUCAACUAAAAGCCUCAAAGUUCGCUUAUUGACAGCCAUGUGUAAGGCCUAUACCUUGGCUUACUAAUGUGUACGAGCUCGUUAAUAUUAUCCCUUUUCAGCCACUUUUACUACUAUCGAUUUUUUGGGCGAGUUUUUUCAUAGCUUAAAACUUUUAAGGAUUUUUGGGGUUGUUUUAACUAUAGUACAAGUAAUAUUAGUAAAGAAGAUCCUGUUUUAAAGAGUGUAAGGUAUAAAAUAUGUGUUAUUUUAUAAGCAUUAAUCCUCCAAUGGAAUGGUAGAAAUGAAAGUAAAUUUGCAACAGUUAUAGAACCUCUAAGUCUAGACGUAAUGAUUAAAUAUUAUUCUAUCUAUACCAUCUUAGUUCUGCUAUCUAUAAAUGAUUUACACCUGGAAGCUGGACAUGUCUUACAAGUUCUAAUAAAGCAAAAAUAUAGGAACUCAUUAGCAAACUAAUGAUAGCAAUCAUAUUAUGCAUGUUCCUACUGGUUCAAGUGCUCUUUUUGAUGUCUCAUCGGGUUGUUAGGUACCUUUCCAGUUUGUAUGCUUUUCAUUGGAGUAUGGUCCUACAUUUUAUUUUGAAUGAUUGCUUAUUAUGCAUAAUUCGGUACGUUCAUUACAAGAAUUGCAUUCUAUGUUUUUUUGCAGCGAAUAUAAGUGGAGUGAACAUUGACUGAUGACCAAAGAGAUGAAUUUGAGGACGUGCUACAUGUGUUGACUUUAGAAAGAACCC
rnacentral:lncRNA from 1 species